AUAAACCAUGUAAAAAUGAGAACAAAAGGAAGAAAUGCUGUUUUCACAAGCCAUGGCGAGGGGCAGCAUGAGGACAACUGAUGCCACUGGUCACACUAUUAACAGAGCAUCAGUAAACCCAGGCACAGUCUGGGGAUAGGACGCUACUGUAAUAGUCUCCAAUUAUUAUACAUGAAGCAGUUGAGGGACCGUAUGCACCCAAGCAUUCCACGGGAGCAAAGCAGAUUUUUAUCACACCGGAAGUGUGUUUCCUGCCUAAAGUCUCUGGGAUUCCUGAGUCUGACAGGUAUAAGGCACCAGGACCCUUGACAAGCCUCAGACUCAGGAUAAGUGGGAAAGAGGACAUGUGUGUCUCGUGAUUAAGCUGGAAUUGAUUGUGUAUCAACAGAAACGGGUUACAACCCAUCAUUACGUGGGCUGGAACCACCAAGCUCUCGGUUAACAACCCAAUGCACUAACCCACCUGCCACAGAAACCCUUACUGCUGAUUCAACUGGGCGCUACAGGCCGGACUCACUCCCCAGACUCCCCGCAGCCCUUCCACUCUCAGGUGCUGGCGGCAGAACAACUGUGCAAGGCCUCGGAAAACCCGAGAGAUUAGAGCGCUGAGUGGCGCUGGUCGUGUAGGACACCCGCAGGUUGGGAGAUCCUGGAGCUAGAAGGACAGCCGAAUGGCCUUCGCCCGCCCUGCCCCUCACCUGCUUCAGAAACCCCCCAGCUUGGGGGCCCAAGGGGAGCUGAACGCCCGGCGGGCUCCCGGGAUGGCUCUUCCCGUUCUUUGCGCCGCCUUCACCCAGUGAGGGAGCCCGUGCCCAUCCUGCCCAGGCGCUUUCGGGCGGCUGCGGAGCUUUCGCGGCCGACUCGGAUCCUGUGUCUGGCACCGGGGCUCUGCCAGGCAGGGAUGGGGUGAGGGUCGCUCGUGGGUCCCAUGGGGAGCAGGGGCUGUCACUCCGCAGGGCGCAUGACUAGGGCUUGAACGAAUCCGUCAUCGCCUUCGGCUUUUAGUCAUUUGAAGAGCCGGGAAAAAAGAAAUCAAACUCAUUUCCAUGGGGAAGUUUCGUUUUGUUUUUUUGUCUUGUUUUUGAGAGAGGGUCUCACUUGGUCACCCAGGCUGGAGUGCAGUGGUGCAAACACGGCCCACUGCAGCCUUGAUCUCCCCGGCUGAGCUAUUUUCUUGUCUGAGCCCCACAAGGAGCUGGGACAACAGGGGGAGCCACACGCCAGGCUAAAUUUUGUCUUUUUUUGUAGAGACAGGAUUUCGCCACGUUGCACAGGUUGGUCGCGAAAGGGAAGGGAGUUCUUUCUAAAAAGCAUUUAUUCCGAUUGAUUUCUCGGCGUCCCGUGGGGCGGGCAAGGGGCGAGGCCUCCGGUGGCCUCGAUUGCCUCUCUGCGGAGCUGAGGGCUCAGUUGGGCUGUUUUUGGGUGCGUGCCUGGGUCGGGAGGCCGGGAGCGGGGCAAGGGGUGGGUCCCGCAGGGAACUGCAGGGGGAGAGCAUGGAAGUCGGCAGAGGCCUGGACCCGGGAGAUGAAACUUCCCAGUAGCUUUUGUCAGCGGCGAGGACUGUACAAGGGAGAGAUGAGAAGUGUUCUUUUAUUGCAGCAGUGGGGAAGGGAGGAAAAACGGAGACACCAAGAAAAAAUGAAAUCUACGCGGACCUUUAGGUCUCCAAAGCGGAGGCAGCCCUGCAUUCAGCUGAAAGAACGAGGCCAGCUGCUUCCGCGCCUUUGGCUCGGUUCUUCGUUCCCUUUCGCCUCUAACCUCUGCCUAGACUGUGCCCUUUACCUGCGACUGGAGACUUAACAACGUUUCUGCGGCUUGGAGACUCUGUGCGGUGCGGAGACUAGAAGGAACGCCUACCGUGCACACCGAGGUCAUCUUGAAAGGCUGGAUUUUGCAAGUGCAACACCCGAAAGGGCAGGUGCGAGAGGGAGUACCUGGAAGAUGGUUUCAUCCCGAGCAGAAAGGGCAGAACCCCCUUGCCUGUCUCAGGAAUGCUGGGUUUUCUACCAUCACCAGAGGGUCCCAGAAUGACACUGCGUGUGCAGAAGACAGAUCUAAGGAUGAGCCAGCCUCGUGAGUGCGACCUACCCAGGAUACAUGUGUAGGACAUGCAGGUUUGUUAUACAGGUAAACACGUGCUGUGGUGGUUUGCUGUACCUAUCAACCCUUCACCUAGGUAUUAAGCCCCACGUGCAUUAACUGUGUAUCCUGAUGCUCUUCCUCCCCGGCCCCAGGGACAGGUCCCAGUGUGUGUUGUUCCCCGCCCCGUGUCCACGUGUUCAGCUCCCGCUUAUAAGUGAGAACACGCGCGGUGUUUGGGUAUCUGUUCCUGUGUUAGUUUGCCGAUGAUAAUGGCUUCUGGAGAUGGCAGUUCUGGGAGAUUUAGGGGUGACAGGGUUAACUGGAGCCAGGUCAGGUGGGGCAGCAAAAUAAAACUAGCUAGAGAGAACCGGACAAGGAGGUGGCAGGUGCAUAGAAACGAGAAUCAGGCAACUUGCUGCUAACAAACCAUGUGACCGAGAGCAGGCACACCCCAGGGCUCUCUUUCUUCAUCCAUAAAAUCAUAUGAAAUCCUGCCUCAUGAGGGAGUGCUCCUGUAUCAGCCACGCGCCCCCCACCACCAUAAUAUUGCACUCCCCUUGAUCCCUACCCUCGGGGGCCCUUCUGAGACAUACUCUCCUGGUUCUUCCUGUGUCCUCUAAGGCAGGGUUGGCCAUAGGAGACGCUGAUACUGAAUUACGUACCCUGGCUUAAAUGAGGGUGACAGGGUCCUACUGCAGCAGAGGCAGGCGACAGCACUUAACUGUUAGAAGCAAGGUGGUGUCACAACAUACCGGACAGCAAGAUUAGGCUGGCCCCGGGGAAGUGUGCCCCAUGGGGAUCUCUGGAGGUGGCUAAAGAGCAUGGUGCUUCUAGAAACAAGGUACAUGGGCAUCUGUGUCUAUGGGGGGAAUUCAGCCUUGCCCACAGAGAGGUCUGGCCUCUGCCCUGGGCUUCUGGAGGUCAUCUUGGAGCCCUGGGAAUGUCGUGCCUGAGAAGAGUGUCUUUGUUUUCCUGGAGAUUAGAACCACUCCAGAAAGCCUAACAAUGUGAUUGAUGGUGGAGGCUUCGAGUCACGUGUUACCAGCUCAACUUCUGGAGGGCUGGAGACUGAGGUCAGUCACACGGACAGUGCACCAAACGGUCCUCAUAAAAACUCUGCUCACCAAAACUCAGAUAGGCUUCCCUGGUUGGCAAAGUCACAGGCCGUUGCCAGGAGCAGCGCUGCCCUGACUGCAGGAGAAGAGGAUGACUGGACACUCCUGCUUGGAGCUCUCCUGGGCUCUGCCCCAUGUGUCUGUUUCUAUAUCCUCUGUCUGUAAUCAGCCACAACCACGAGUAUAACCACUUUCAGUGAGUGCUGCUGGAACAUUAUCAAAGCGCAGGGUACUGCUAGAGACCCCUGAACUUGGAAUUGGUGUCAACAGUGAGGGCUGUUUUGUGGACUGUUCUUCCUCUAACUCUAAAACAGCCAACAGGGUACAGCUUGAUAUGAUCGAUAAAAAGAAACCAAGAAUGGAUGAGCAGAAGGCUGAGAUCAGCCACCAGAUAGAAAAGUUCUAUCCCCUGUCCACUCUCUGCACCUGAGCCAGUUCUCAGACCCCGAACCCAUCAAUGGAAAGAGAAGCUGGGUCCCCAUAAAGACAGACCUUGUCAUACCACAGCACGUGCAUCUAAUAGCAGUUUCCUCAGCCAUUUCCUCUGCUUGAUGGUUUAGGCUCCUUUUGUGAGGGCCAAAAUUGCCCCCAAAAAGGCAUAACUUCACAGGAAGGGUAAUUGAUUCUGAUUACCAUGUAGGACUGCUUUUACAUAAUGGGGUAGGGAGAAUACUUCUGGACUCAAGUAGUCCCCUGGGUAUCAAUUAUUAUUCCGACACACAGUUUUAACUGUAAAUGGGUGAGUACAGCAACCGAGACCUGAUAAGGGCCUAGGAACCAGGAGCACGCAUCCCUCAGGGAUGACAGUCUGUGUCACUCCACCAGGCUACCUAGACUAGCGGAGGUGCCAGCCACAGGGAGGGAAAUCUAUAAUAAAUGGCAAAGUGUGGGGAGGAUGUGCAUCAGUUGUGACCUUAAAAACAACUGUAGCAGUAAGGCCUAUAAUGGCCCCCAACUCUACUCUUGUAAAAUUAUCCAGAAAUCAAAACCAUCUAGAAUUGGAGAAGCAAUCGCUGGAUGACAUGAAUUUGAUGUGAGAACCAUAUGGAUCUGAGUGGGCACAAGGUGUGGACCGCAGUAGAUGCUGUAAUGCCCGCCCACAUUCCUGAUGCUGUGAUGCUCCGCCCACAUUCCUAUUAUCUGAUCCUUGUGGCUGUCACCAGCUUCUGUUCGUGGUGGCCACUCUAACAGGGCAUGACGGUACCCUUCACCUAAGAGCAGCCCCUGCUCCAGAGGAGCCUCCAGGCCCGGAAAUACCUAAAAGGCUCUGCCUCUCCCUGGCGUGGCCUGUAGCCAGCAACAAAUGGUGCAGGGGUGGUGGGGCAUGGUGGCUCAUGCCUGUAAUCCCUGCACUAUGGGAGGCCGAGGCGGGGGAGGGGGGCGGAUCACAAGGUCAGGAGUUCAAGACCGGCCUGGCCAAGAUGGUGAAACCCGGUCUCUACUAAAAAUACAAAAAUUAGCUGGAUGUGGUAGCAGGCACCUAUAAUCCCGGCUGCUUGGGAGGCUGAGACAGAGAACUGCUUGAACCUGGGAGGCGGAGGCUGCAGUGAGCUGAGAUCUCUGUGGAAUUCUGACUUGCAGUCAGAGCUGUUCCUGGUACAGUUGACUCCAAUCAGAAACCCAGGCGAAACUGUGGCCCUGAGCGCAGAGAAUUGGUUUUCUGUUUCCCAAACUUCCACACGGUGGCACCACUGAGCACCCACUUCGUCCUCGUGGUUAAGGGAGACGGUUCCACGUGGCUGGGCGGUCCUUGCGGUUCCUGCCCUUCUGUAGGCUGCGUGUCCCGCGUCGCGUCGGCAGCAAUCUUGCAGCUUUUUGAAAAAGAAACCUUCACCAAAGGCUUCUGAAAGCCAGAGGCCUUUUCUUAUUUCAUUUGCGUUCUCUCUCUCCAAGGCCUACGAGAGAGCACUGCACAAAAUCGUAUAUUGGGGAUGAAAUUGUUAAUGGAGUUGGUAGAAACAGGAACAAAUUAAAACAAUUACCUUUUAGUCAUGGGGAAUUAAGUGAAUCUUCAUUCAUAUACACAUGGAAUCCCUGUGAUGACUCGAAAUGGACAUUUGGUCUUUGUCCCUGUUCCUGACACUGAGCUCUGAAACCCCUGAAAUUUCCUGAAUGAUAGGGAUGAGGGAGCUCCUUGCUAUUCAUAACAAGCUCCUCCAGCCACACUGAGUUUGUGCUAAUGAGGUGACUCUUGGUGGACCCCUAGAUAGCUGCAGGAUGGGGCUCGUUGCCAGAGGAACCAACCAUGUGAUUAGAGGACUGAGCUUUCAGCCCCACGCUGGGCCUCCAGAAAACGGCUGCAGCUGCGGGAGGGCUUCAAUGACCAGUGGCCAAUUAUUUGAUCAGCCAUGCCCAAAUAACGCGACUGCCACAGAAACCACAAAUGAAGGGCUCAGAGCGCUGUCAGGCUGGUGAGCGUGGGGUGCAGGGAGGGUGGACACCUGGAGUGGGCCUGGGAGCUCCCUGCUGCCCCCAUACAUGGCCCUGUGUGUCUCUUCCACGUGGCUUUCCUGAGUUGUAGUAUUUCUAAUAAACCAGUAAUCAUGAGUAAAGUGACUUAUUGACUCCUUUGAACUCCUGUAGCAGAUUAUCUAACCUCAGGAGGGGGUUUGUGGGAACCUCCAGUUUGUAGCCAGCCAGUCAGAGUAUGGGAGGGCAGGUGCUGAGACUGGCAUUGGAAGUGUGGGCGCAGCGUUGUGGGGCUGAGCCUUCACCUUGUGGGGUCUGUGCUAACUCUGGGUAGUUAGGGUCAGAACUGAGUUGUAGGAUACCCUGUCUCUACUGAAAAUACAAAAAUUA